rnacentral:rRNA from 1 species
GACGAACGCUGGCGGCGUGCUUAACACAUGCAAGUCGAACGGAAAGGCCCCUUUGGGGGUACUCGAGUGGCGAACGGGUGAGUAACACGUGAGUAACCUGCCCUUGACUUCGGGAUAACUUCAGGAAACUGGGGCUAAUACCGGAUAGGAAUCCUUGCUGCAUGGUGGGGGUUGGAAAGCUUCGGCGGUUUUGGAUGGACUCGCGGCUUAUCAGCUUGUUGGUGGGGUAGUGGCUUACCAAGGCUUUGACGGGUAGCCGGCCUGAGAGGGCGACCGGCCACAUUGGGACUGAGAUACGGCCCAGACUCCUACGGGAGGCAGCAGUGGGGAAUAUUGCACAAUGGGCGGAAGCCUGAUGCAGCAACGCCGCGUGUGGGAUGACGGCCUUCGGGUUGUAAACCGCUUUCAGCAGGGGCGAAGCUUGUGGUGACGGUACCUGCAGAAGAAGCACCGGCUAACUACGUG